UAACCUGCCCUUGACUUUGGGAUAACUUCAGGAAACUGGGGCUAAUACCGGAUAGGAGCUCCUGCUGCAUGGUGGGGGUUGGAAAGUUUCGGCGGUUGGGGAUGGACUCGCGGCUUAUCAGCUUGUUGGUGGGGUAGUGGCUUACCAAGGCUUUGACGGGUAGCCGGCCUGAGAGGGUGACCGGCCACAUUGGGACUGAGAUACGGCCCAG
rnacentral:rRNA from 1 species